GGGGGUGUAGCUCAACUGGAAGAGCAUCUGCCUUGCACGCAGAAGGUCGCAGGUUCGAUCCCUGUCACCUCCA
rnacentral:tRNA from 1 species